CCACCCCCACCAAGUGAUGAACCUCAGCCAAAUCCACCCCCACCAGAGGAGCAACCUGAGGAGAGUCCAGAUGAAGACUCACCAUCCGAGUAAUCUGAGAGUCAUUGACAGAGCAUGAGUAUGAAGACACCAGUCCUUCAGAAAGCCAUGACAUUGGAAGAAGGCAGUCUGUCUUCAGUUCACCAAUAAAAUAAUCAGCAUCCACUU